rnacentral:pre_miRNA from 1 species
AUAAUACUCCCUCCGUCCGGAAAUAUUUGUCAUUGAAAUGGAUGUAUCUAGAUGUAUUUUAGUUCUAGAUACAUCCAUUUUCAUCCAUUUUGAUGACAAAUAAUUCUGGACGGAGGGAGUAGUAA